AUUUUUGGUUAAAUUUGUAAGGCUUGGUUAUAUAAUGUGACCUUGGGUUUAGUUUGAGAUAGGCUUGUUUUGAUUGACUAAUAAAAGAAAGAUUUAUUUUGUUAGAUUUUCUCUUCUUGUUUCUAGUGCUUCUUCUCCCUCUCUAUACAUGCAAGCACGGCCUAUCAAGAAUUUUGAGUUUUACAUAAUGAGACUAGAUUAAUUAAUAGCUAAAUUACAUUGUUAUUUUUGAAACCCUAAUUAUGGAUCUAUUCAUAAUAUGGAAGAGGGGUGUCACGCCCCUAACUCAAAAUCGCGAGCCGAGGAUGAGAUAACCACCACAUGCUCAUAGAGAGCUUUCUCCGCAAAUAUGUAAAGCAUCUCAUGACAUCAUAAAGUAAACAGCGAAAUAAUUAAUUAAUUAAUUAAAUCUAAAAUUUAAAGAACUACCAUUCGAACUUAAUGUAUUAUAAAAUUUUAAUAAUCUAAUAGUUUUACAUGAAACUUAAAUAAAAUCCUAAACUAAAAUAAGAGACCAAAACUCUACUUUUGAUCAUUCUUUCGAAGCAUAACUUAGUGCCAAUUUAGUUCUUAAUAAGCAAUGGACACUUUAACUGAAUAAAUCAGAUGAUGAGCUAAUAAUAAUUUUACUGAAAAUAAGCAUAUGGAAGUAUGCUAGUUCAAAAAUCAGAUCUAAAUAUACAGCAAGAUCAAAGUAUCAUACAUGUGAAUCAAAUCCUACUCAAAAUUUUAAGUUAACUUUCAAGAAUUCCAAUUUUGCAAAAUACCAAGUUCAUCUCAUCAGCCAUGAACUAUUACCAUACUUAUACUUUAUAGUUGGGUCAGAUAAUAAGCUCAAAAAUAGUCAUAUUAUCAAUGGAUGACCUCCAAUAUUUCUAAUAGUAGGGUAUCAAAAUGGCAAUAUAUAACCCUCACUUGUAGGGUAUCGAAUUGUGAUGUAUAAUCCUCAUAGAUAGAACAUCGAAGUGCUAAUAUAUAAACCCUAUUAGCAAGGUAUCGAAGUGCUAACAUGUAAUCCCCGCUAGUAGGAUAUCGAAGUACCAACAUGAAACUCCCAUUAACAAGAUAUUAAAACAUAGUCCGGCUACGAGUCCAAAUUAA
rnacentral:lncRNA from 1 species